rnacentral:rRNA from 1 species
CCUUACCUACUCUUGACAUCCAGAGAAUUUGCUAGAGAUAGCUUAGUGCCUUCGGGAACUCUGAGACAGGUGCUGCAUGGCUGUCGUCAGCUCGUGUUGUGAAAUGUUGGGUUAAGUCCCGCAACGAGCGCAACCCUUAUCCUUUGUUGCCAGCGCGUAAUGGGGGGAACUCAAAGGAGACUGCCGGUGAUAAACCGGAGGAAGGUGGGGAUGACGUCAAGUCAUCAUGGCCCUUACGAGUAGGGCUACACACGUGCUACAAUGGCAUAUACAAAGAGAAGCGAACUCGCGAGAGCAAGCGGACCUCAUAAAGUAUGUCGUAGUCCGGAUUGGAGUCUGCAACUCGACUCCGUGAAGUCGGAAUCGCUAGUAAUCGUAAAUCAAAAUGCUACGGUGAAUACGUUCCCGGGU